rnacentral:rRNA from 1 species
GUGUCAGCAGCCGCGGUAAGACGGAGGGGGCAAGCGUUGUCCGGAAUCACUGGGCGUAAAGCGCGCGUAGGUGGCGCGGUGCGUCGGUGCUGAAAGCGCCGGGCUUAACCCGGCGAGGUGUGCCGAUACGACCGAGCUCGAGGCCAGCAGAGGGUGGCGGAAUUCCGGGUGUAGUGGUGAAAUGCGUAGAGAUCCGGAGGAACGCCGGUGGUGAAGACGGCCACCUGGGCUGGACCUGACACUGAGGUGCGAUAGCGUGGGGAGCGAACCGGAUUAGAUACCCCUGUAGUCC